rnacentral:lncRNA from 1 species
UGGGAGGGGGCGGGGCGCGGAGGGGCCGGUCCCGGCUGAGGGGCCGUUGGUGCGGCAGAGUCGGAGCGGCGGCGGCCGGCGCGGCCCCGGGGAGAGGGCUCUGACGAGAGAGGGACCGACAGACCCACGGCGAGGGAGGAGCCAACCCCCGGCAAAGGAGCGGCCACGGCGAGAGAGGAACCGAGCCCUGGCAAGGGAUUGUCUGACCCCCUGCGAGGGAGUGAGCCCCGGCACAAAGGCAGCAGCGUUUCCAUGGGCAGCUGAGUGUGUGGAGCAGGCAGUGCAGGAGCAGGAAGAGGAAGAAGGAGGAGACCCUUAAGAGACGACUGCCUGCACCCUCAGAUGCGUGGGCCUCUGUAAGUUUUGUGCAGAACCUCCUGAUGCCUGAGCAUGCAGAUUGGCCCAGAAAAUUGCGAUGGCAAAACUGGAGUCCAGAGCCGUUCCAGGGGGUGUUUCCUGCAGCCACAAAGGCAGGGGCAAUUUCCUGGAGCUGUCACGUGCCUGUCCACGGCUUUGAGGAUGCUGUGG